rnacentral:snoRNA from 1 species
AAACCAUGGUGUGGGCAUUUUAGGAUAAGAUCCUUAAAUCUCUCCCAAAAUGUAAAAAAUUGUUCACCAUCGUUUUGAGAAAAUUGCAUUAUGAGUCG